CGCCUAGCUACGCGAUCGCUGAUGGUGGUUUACCCACUCCUUUUUAGGGUUUCCUCUUGAGCUUUCUAGCACGAAGGCAGCGAGCUCCUUUUUAGGAGUGGGGCGUCGGCGGCGCCUCGAGCGGGGGUGUCUGACGGCGGCGGUGGCCGAUCCCACUAGCCAAACAAUCGGUGGGUUGAUGAGCCCUCUCCCCCCGUCAGCUGCGGCGGCGCCGAGCGAGAUCGGGGCAGCGGGGAUGGGGAGAGGCUAUGCUGUGCUGUGGAGCGGGCAGGGAGGAAGAGACGCUGCGCGUCGAGCUCCCUGAUGCCCGGCCUCCUCUACGGAGCGACCGAGGUUUCCAAGGAGGGUCCAUCCCAGUCAAGUUUGCGGCAGAAAGGCUGCUGCUUUUGAUGAGGUCACGAGGAUAUUGUUUUGGAGCAUCUUCUUGAUUUAUCAGUUCCGAAGCUCCAGGGCAAUGCUCUUUCCGAACUAAGCAACUUCCGAAGAGGGACAUGUUCAAGAAUUUGGCUCCGCUGUUGUGGCACUCUUUUGCACAAUUUCUGAGCUAUUCAAUCUACCCUACACUUUCACCUCCAAAUGUGACAUUAGCUGCAUCGAACCGAGUCUGCAAUGUGCUCACACUUCUCCAGCAACUUAGGAAGAGGUGCAUGUUCAAGAAUUUGCCUCAGUUGUUGUGGCACAAUUUCCGAGCUACUGUAAGUAUGUCAUAAUCCUUGUCUCCUAUGUCAAAAAGCAAAAAAUUGAGCCUAUUGUUUCCACUUUUUUACCACUAUAUUUGGCUACUUACGUACAUAAACAGUGGCUGUAGCAAUCUACCCUGCACUCUCACCUCCAAAUGUGGCAGCAGCUGCAUCGAACUGAGUCUGCAAUGUCCUCACACUUUUCCAGGUACACUUUUAGGUUGACACUUUCAUUGUUCAAAAGGUUCUGCUAGAUGAUGUUGGGCUGGGCUACGUUUGUGCCACUCCUGAGCGUUUCUUUGAGAUGGGUUGGGCUUUAGCAAAUAUGCUUAUUUUACUGACUAGUCACCCUUCUACGAGGUUACUGAAGUUCAUUAUCCGUUGUUUCCUCAGGCUGAUAGAUAAUCCUAGGUUUGUGCCAUCAUUCCUGAUAUUGUGUAUCACAUGUGCUCUUCGUCACAAGUUGCAGAUGUUUGUUUCUUCCCCAAUCCAUUGCAGGACCUCUGUACCGCUGAUAUUUUCUUGUCUGUUCCUAGCGUGUGGAGUGAUGGGACAUUCGAGAACUGUCUCGAGGUGAGUCUUAUUCCUAAGCUGUCUGCUGUCACAAAUUCAUUGUUGGUCCACUGAAGCAGAUGUCACACUAGAUUGAAGAAUCCAACCGAAUAUUGACUGCAUUUCCUUGAAGGAUGAACCUGCAACAGAACCGUGUCUCAAAUAACUAAUGGCUAUUGUCCUAGAAGAUAACAGGCUGGAAAAAUAGACUGAUUUGGUGCUACAGGUGACACGCCAUCUUAUCUCGAAUUGCACAAUGCUGUCGGCCCCCUUAAGAAAACAAAUACAGUUUGUUGCAAUAAGAUAGACUGAUCUGGGCUCUGCAAUUCACUACAAGUGACACGCCAUCUUUUCUUGAAUUGCACAGUGCUGUGGGUUCCUUCAGAAAACAAAUACUGUUUGACUGAUCUGGUCGCUGCAAUUUGCUACAAGUGACGCGCCAAUCCUGUGGGUUGCCUGGCUUUCUUCAUUUCAAACCAUUUGGAAACUUGUAAUACAGGGGAAGAAACUAUGGUCCUCCUCUGCAUUUGGGUGCUAUUUAAACAGCUUCAUUGUGAUUCCAGCGGACCAAUACCAGAGAGUUUGCUUUAUACUGUUAAAAUCAUGGUUGCCCAUGUGAAUUGCCCUCUUAUGGUCAAUGGAGAUUCUUGCCUUGUUGGGGGUUAUACUGUGCGUUGGUAAGUAGGUAGAUUUUCUCUGAGGGGAAUCGGAUCUUAUUGCCCCAGUCAUAGUCAUGAACAUUGACAUUCUCUCUCAGGUCAUAUAUACGAGUGGAUUCAAACUUCAAAACUUGGACUGCUGAUAUAUUUACACAUAUGUACUAUAGUUGUAUCGUAAGUGUGAAUUUGUAUCGAGAAGUACUAGAAUAUUGUGUUUUUUUGACACGAGAAUAGUGUUUCCCAGGCUAAAGACUGCUGAUGCUCAAAACGACACAUUUGGAACGA